rnacentral:piRNA from 1 species
GAAACCCCAGAAUUAGAGCCU